rnacentral:rRNA from 1 species
UACGGAGGGGGCUAGCGUUGUUCGGAAUUACUGGGCGUAAAGCGUCUGUAGGUGGUCAAAUAAGUCAACUGUUAAAUCUUGAGGCUCAACCUCAAAAUCGCAGUCGAAACUAUUCGACUAGAGUAUAGUAGGGGUAAAGGGAAUUUCCAGUGGAGCGGUGAAAUGCGUAGAGAUUGGAAAGAACACCGAUGGCGAAGGCACUUUACUGGGCUAUUACUAACACUGAGAGACGAAAGCUAGGGUAGCAAAUGGG